rnacentral:rRNA from 1 species
AUUGAACGCUGGCGGAAUGCUUUACACAUGCAAGUCGAACGGUAGAGGGGGCAACCCCUCGAGAGUGGCGAACGGGUGAGUAAUAUAUCGGAACGUGCCCAGUCGUGGGGGAUAACGUAGCGAAAGUUACGCUAAUACCGCAUACGAUCUAAGGAUGAAAGCGGGGGAUCGCAAGACCUCGCGCGAUUGGAGCGGCCGAUAUCAGAUUAGGUAGUUGGUGGGGGAAAGGCUCACCAAGCCAACGAUCUGUAGUUGGUCUGAGAGGACGACCAGCCACACUGGAACUGAGACACGGUCCAGACUCCUACGGGAGGCAGCAGUGGGGAAUUUUGGACAAUGGACGCAAGUCUGAUCCAGCCAUUCCGCGUGCAGGAUGAAGGCCCUCGGGUUGUAAACUGCUUUUGUACGGAACGAAAAGGUCUCUCUUAAUACGGGGGGCUCAUGACGGUACCGUAAGAAUAAGCACCGGCUAACUACGUGCCAGCCGCCGCAGUAA